UGGCUCACCAAGGCGACGAUGCGUAGCCGACCUGAGAGGGUGAUCGGCCACACUGGGACUGAGACACGGCCCAGACUCCUACGGGAGGCAGCAGUAGGGAAUCUUCCGCAAUGGACGAAAGUCUGACGGAGCAACGCCGCGUGAGUGAUGAAGGUUUUCGGAUCGUAAAGCUCUGUUGUUAGGGAAGAACAAGUGCGAGAGUAACUGCUCGCACCUUGACGGUACCUAACCAGAAAGCCACGGCUAACUACGUGCCAGCAGCCGCGGUAAUACGUAGGUGGCAAGCGUUGUCCGGAAUUAUUGGGCGUAAAGGGCUCGCAGGCGGUUUCUUAAGUCUGAUGUGAAAGCCCCCGGCUCAACCGGGGAGGGUCAUUGGAAACUGGGAAACUUGAGUGCAGAAGAGGAGAGUGGAAUUCCACGUGUAGCGGUGAAAUGCGUAGAGAUGUGGAGGAACNACCAGUGGCGNAAGGCNGACUCUCUGGUCUGUAACUGACGCUGAGGAGCGAAAGCGUGGGGAGCGAACAGGAUUAGANUACCCUGGUAGUCCACGCCGUAAACGAUGAGUGNUAAAUGUUGGGGGGUUUCCGCCCCUUAGUGCUGCAGCUAACGCAUUAAGCACUCCGCCUGGGNGANGUNACGGUCGCAAGACUGAAACUCAAAGGAAUUGACGGGGGCCCGCACAAGCGGGGGAGCAUGUGGUUUAAUUCGAAGCAACGCGAAGAACCUUACCAGGUCUUGACAUCCUCUGACAACCCUAGAGAUAGGGCUUUCCCUUCGGGGACAGAGUGACAGGUGGUGCAUGGUUGUCGUCAGCUCGUGUCGUGAGAUGUUGGGUUAAGUCCCGCAACGAGCGCAACCCUUGAUCUUAGUUGCCAGCAUUUAGUUGGGCACUCUAAGGUGACUGCCGGUGACGAAGGGGGAGGAAGGUGGGGAUGACGUCAAAUCAUCAUGCCCCUUAUGACCUGGGCUACACACGUGCUACAAUGGACAGAACAAAGGGCUGCAAGACCGCAAGGUUUAGCCAAUCCCAUAAAUCUGUUCUCAGUUCGGAUCGCAGUCUGCAACUCGACUGCGUGAAGCUGGAAUCGCUAGUAAUCGCGGAUCAGCAUGCCGCGGUGAAUACGUUCCCGGGCCUUGUACACACCGCCCGUCACACCACGAGAGUUUGCAACACC
rnacentral:rRNA from 1 species